UCGCGGCUUAUCACCGGCAGUCCCCUUAGAGUGCCCAACUGAAUGAUGGCAACUAAGGGCGAGGGUUGCGCUCGUUGCGGGACUUAACCCAACAUCUCACGACACGAGCCGACGACAGCCAUACAGCACCUGUCUUGGGACUCCGAAGAGCGGCCCUGGUUUCUCAGGACCUUCCCCAAGAUGUCAAGCCCAGGUAAGGUUCUUCGCGUUGCGUCGAAUUGAACCACAUGCUCCGCUGCUUGUGCGGGUCCCCGUCAAUUCCUUUGAGUUUUAGCCUUGCGGCCGUACUCCCCAGGCGGGGCACUUAAUGCGUUAGCUGCGGUACUGAGAAAUCGCUUCCCCAACACCUAGUUGUCAUCGUUUAGGGCGUGGACUAC
rnacentral:misc_RNA from 1 species